AUUUAAAUAGGGCAAAGCCAUCGAAAGGUGGUGACGCAAAGCUAUGGGUCUAAAGCUAUAAGCUAUGACUGCCAGGUUGCAUUA
rnacentral:ncRNA from 1 species